rnacentral:lncRNA from 1 species
UUUAUGCCAAAGCAAUCAAACUUCAAUAAACUCAAUUAAACUCUACCGUUUCGUUUUGCUUGCCGGUGACCGAAUUUUCUGCAACUCCUUUCAGUUUUAGUUCAACAAAAUUAAUUCCUUCUAAUGAUCAUGAUUACCCUUAAAUCAUAUGCUUUUACACCAUAUAAUUGGCCCAACGAUUCCGAGUUUAAGAAUGCUAUAAAACCGAAAUCAUCAACUCUAUGCUACACCCUUUGCACACUCACAACAUAACUCGCUGAACUUACACCUUUGCCGGAGUUCGAGACGUUGCCGGUAUCGAGUCGAGUCGGAGGUUCACAGCGGAACCACGUUCUUCGUUUCGACGAAGAAACGACGCCGGAGUUUACAGAGACCACGACGGAGUCUCGUUUAUGAACGUAUGUAAACGAGGAACAAGUUUGCAUCGAAUCUGAACCUUCAUUGUUUCGGAUAACCAUCACGUUCACUCUCUUGGAUUUUCCAAUCUUACUCGUGCGUACUUACAAGAAAUCGCAACGCAAACAAUGUGAGUAUACUCGAUCCCUUUUUGUUUUAAACAAUUUUGGGAUGCAACAUAUAUUCUAUAUAUCAAAAACACUUGACACUUGAAACUUAUUUGAAACAUACUCUAUCCAUUUAAACAUGAAACAUAAAACUUGUGAUGCUUGAGACUUUUAUGCUAUGUGAACGUUUAAUCCUUGUGUGUAGUUCCGCCUUAACAAUGGUAGCGCUAUAGGGGUAAUGCACCUCCCCGUUAGUCUUUGGGGUAUUGUUAGGAUGAGACAUAUAACCUCCCGUUAAACUUUGGGAAAGGCACUUAACGCAUUGGAAACUUGGGCUAUCACUUGGACUGCGUUAGCUAGCAUGGGGAAACUUGCUAUAUGUUUUCGUGUUGGAUAUGAGUCUUUAAACGUAUAAACUAUUAUGCUAUGUAUUAAAACUUGUAUGCUCGCCAACAUAUUUUUGUUGAUGUUAUUUUAAUACAUGUUGCAGGUUGAUAGACGAAGUGAUCAAGAAAACAAGCUAGGAUGAACCUAGAAACCCAUCUAGAAUAGACAAUGUUUUGAACUAUUUUUGAUACAAUGUUUGAAUCUUGUAUGACACUUUGGCCUUUAUGAAAUUUGACUUAAUCGAUAUUGUCACAAUUAGUGUUAUGAUGCUUUUGAGCGAUUUGUUCGUCUCAUCCCGAUGUUUCCGUAAACGGUUGGGGUGUGACAGAUUGGUAUCAGAGCCAUAACUAUAGGGAAUUAGGUAGGACUGCCUUAUUUUUGCCUAGUCUAUAGUAGGAGUACUCUGAUACCAGAUUGGUAUCAGAGCCAUAACUAUAGGGAAUUAGGAAUGCCUUGCCUAGUCUAUAGUUUAAGAGCUUAUUCACUAUAUGUUGCUUAAAACAACUUCCUUUCUAUCUUCUUUGCUUCCCUCUAUUCUCUUGGACUCUUAAUAUACAUGCCUUUCCUAAGGCUAACACAAUACACACUUGGAGGCUUGAAGACACUCUUAUAACACAAUCGAAACGACUCAUCAAAAUAGGGGUGAUUCCCACAUUUGAUGAUGACUUUCACUCAGCUAUACUUUGAAUUUUGCACGAAAUCUACACUCAAGUUAGGAGUGAUGUCCAAAUCUUGAAGGGAGUUUUCCGUUUCAUAUUCUAGUGGACCCUUAUCUUCUGAUAAGUACUAACCACGUUAGGGUACGAUGUUAUUGAGUUAGAGGUGAAACUCAUAUCUUAAUAACUAGUCCCACUCCUUGAUUUUCAAUCUCGCCAAAGUUUCGAUUUUCCAAUCGAUUAAGGACGUGUAGUAACUGGAAGGACAAAUAUCGUUAAUCGCUUCUCGAUGAGAGUAUUUGUCUAUUAGGCCAAAACACGUUUCCUUAAUUCGAAAUGGAUUUCGAUUUACUUUGGAAUAGUCUUAUGUUACGUUCCUGACAAUCCAUGUUUUAUGUUUUAUCUCUUUUAUGCUAUCUCAAUUUUCAUGUGUUUUACAUUUGUACGAUAUAUCAUUUCAAUUUAAUACAUGCAUACUAAUAUGUUAUACUGGAUUCGUGAUUAUUGGGUUAUUUUUAUGUGAUGAACUUGUCCUUGAACCCACACCUUAACAUGUAUAGCACUAUGCGUAGUGCUAUAGGAGUAGCGCCCACCCGUAUUCUAGUGGUCAUGUUAAGUUAUUCAACUACGGUACACGAUGGGUUGACAUGUUUAUUCGCAUGCCAGUGAUACGUUAAUCUUGUUAACUAAGUAUGUCAUGUGAAUUGUUCUAAAUUUUUUAUGCUAAUGCUCAUAUUCCCAAAAAAAUGGAAGCUUAUCAUCAAGAUAGGAGUGAUUUCCUUACCUUAACGAUUGGCUCCACUCACUUUUCAACUUCAUCAAUGAGCUAGGGGUGAUUUCCUUACCUCAGAGGUAGUUACCAACUCUACUUCGUUCUCAAAGAAACUUUAUAUUUGAACGUUACUUUCAUUUCAAACUUGGAGACACGAUACACACUAUCUUCGCAAUCCAAAACAAAUAAUAAUAUUCCUCGCGAACAGAUUAAAUUUACGAUGCUUUCAUUUUCUAUGUUACACAACAUGAAAUUCAUCAUUAUGCUAUGUGAAACUAGUUGAACCUUUUGUAUGCUAGGUGAAACUAUAUGCUGUGUUACGCAUUCAUGAAAAACAAUUUCCUUAAACAAUUUCUUUCUGAUCAGAUCUCAUCUAUUCUUUGUUAUGAAUCUUUAGAUGUCAUCAUUUCAAACGUCUUCCUUUUAGAUUUCGAGGAUGAAAUCUCCUAAAGUAGGGGAGACUGUAACAUCCGUCAAAAACAGAUACUUAAAACCCGACUUGGAAACCGGAUCCUAAACAAAUAAAUAAAAUAGCGAAUUUAUCUUUCUUUUAUUAUUUUGUGGAAUAUAUAAACACAAAACUCUUAGUCAUGGAGUUUACUUUUUUAUAAAAAUAAAUAAAUAAAAAUAUACUAAGUAAAAAAAUAAAAUGUUACCAUGAGUCUUAAUUAGAUUGCUAGAAAGAUAAAAAGUCUAGGGGCAUUUAUGCCAAAGCAAUCAAACUUCAAUAAACUCAAUUAAACUCUACCGUUUCGUUUUGCUUGCCGGUGACCGAAUUUUCUGCAACUCCUUUCAGUUUUAGUUCAACAAAAUUAAUUCCUUCUAAUGAUCAUGAUUACCCUUAAAUCAUAUGCUUUUACACCAUAUAAUUGGCCCAACGAUUCUGAGUUUAAGAAUGCUAUAAAACCAAAAUCAUCAACUCUAUUCUACACCCUUUGCACACUCACAACAUAACUCGCUGAACUUACACCUUUGCCGGAGUUCAAGACGUUGCCGGAAUCGAGUCGAGUCGGAGGUUCACAGCAGAACCACGUUCUUCGUUUCGACGAAGAAACGACGCCGGAGUUUACAGAGACCACGACGGAGUCUCGUUUAUGAACGAUAACCAUCACGUUCACUCUCUUGGAUUUUCCAAUCUUACUCGUGCGUACUUACAAGAAAUCGCAACGCAAACAAUGUGAUUCGAGGAGUUUUUACAAGGAACGUCAAAGAUUGAAGAAUCCAAGAAAGAUAAAAUUUCAAAUUGUGAAGUUGUAUGCUCAAAAUGUGAAAAAUCUGAAGCAGACAAUGUUAAACUCUUGAAGGAUGUGGAGAGUUUAACAUUGGAAAUCAAAAGCUUGAAAGAUGAGAAAGAAUCUGAUAAUAAACAGAUUCUUGAAAUGCGAGAAAUUUUUGAGAAAUUGAAGUCUGAAAAUAUCAAACUGUUGAAUGGCGUGAACAGUUUGACAUCAGAAAACAAAAUUUUGAAAGAAAAAAUUGAAAGUUUUGAAAAUGAAAAAUUAAAAAUUGAAAAAGAAUUUCAAAGUCAAAUAAAGAUUCUUGAAGAUGGGAGAUCUGUUUUUAGGAAGAACAAUAUUGAAAAGCAACAGGUAAUAAAUUCCCAUCGUCAGACGAUUAUUCGACUUGAAAAGGAAGCUGAAUGUGCUCAAAAUAAAAUUGACGAGCUUGAAAAGAAAUUGAAAGGUUUUGUGAUUUCUUCAGAAUUAUUGAAUUACCCUUGUCCAAAACCGAUCAAUUCAGUUCCAAUAAGUGACAAUGUCACAAAUUUUGACAAAGUCAAAAUUGAAGAUUGUGAUGACAAAUCUGAUGAUGAAAAAAGAAAAGAAGAAAAACGAAAAACAUUUUUGAAAUUAAAUGAAAUGUUUAAAAAUACUGUUUUACAUUCUACUGAGAAAGGUGAAUGCUCAACGCAAAAACCUGUAAAGAAGAAUGUGGAACAGAAACAAAAAGAUAAACAAUCGAAAAAUU